GUACCCACAGAAGAAGUCCCGGCUAACUCCGUGCCAGCAGCCGCGGUAAUACGGAGGGGGCUAGCGUUGUUCGGAAUUACUGGGCGUAAAGGGUGCGUAGGCGGCCUUAUAAGUUAAAUGUGAAAGCCUUGGGCUCAACUCAAGAAGUGCAUUUAAAACUAUUGGGCUUGAAUAUAAGAGAGGGCAAUGGAAUUUCUGGUGUAGGGGUGAAAUUCGUAGAUAUCAGGAGGAACGUCAGGGGCGAAAGCGAUUGCCUGGAUUAUUAUUGACGCUGAGGCACGAAAGCGUGGGGAGCAAACAGGAUUAGAUACCCUGGUAGUCCACGCUGUAAACGAUGAGUGCUAA
rnacentral:rRNA from 1 species